GACGUCGAUAUUCGACCACAUAAACACGAUCAACUUUGGUGUUUAUGACGUCGAUAUUCGGCAUCAUAAACUCGAUCAACUUUCGUGUUUAUGACGUCGAUAUUCGACGACAUAAAUACGAUCAACUUUGGUGUUGAUGACGUCGAUAUUCGACGACAUAAACACGAUCAGCUGUGCUGUUUAUGACUUCGAUAUUUGACGACAUAAACACGAUCAACUUUGGUGUUUAUGACGUCGAUAUUCGACGUC
rnacentral:miRNA from 1 species